UUUAACCCGUUAACCCGAUAUUUUUGAAUUUUAUAGCCGUUUUGUGACCGUUUGAGCUCCAAAAAAUUCGAAAAAAAUUGCAAAAAUCACCAUUUUUCACCUAUAAAUAGAGGAGCACCUUGCCCUUCCAUUCCACACCAGCAACACCAUUUUCUCUCUUGUUUCCUCCUCUCAUUCUUGUCUCAAAGUUUGUGAGAAUUAGCGAUAAUUUGGCAAAAUUAGUUUGAAUUGUUGCAAAAAAAUCCGAGCAAUUCCAAAAUCGUCAUCCUGCUGACUUGCUAUCUUGAAGUUGAAGAAAUCUUGUGUCAUUCGACAUUGAUCAUGGAUGCCGGUGAUCAUGAUACAUCCAUAGAUCAUGAUUUUUUUCUCCAAGGACUCACAGGGGACUACGGCCCCUUUGAUACCAGUGCUGCAGGUGAUGAUGGACCCGACGGUGAACCUCUGGUUGGUUCACAUCCAGAUCCAGGUGAUGCAGCAGCAGUUCCAUCGUCAGGCUCUACAAGUGCGCACACAUUAGCAAGCAGCGGGUCUAAAAGAUCAAGAGCCGGUACUUCCGAAGUUUGGCAAGACUUUGAAAGGAUCUACAAAGAGGAAGAUGGGGUAAGUGUCAGGUAUGCUAGGUGUUAUAUUUGUAAAAAUGAAUUAUCUGCAAAGCCCUCGGGUGGAACGGGGCACUUGAAGAGGCACGCCAUAAGUUGCAAGCGAAAGAGUGGAGCAGCCAUGAAGCAGACGGUGUUGCAGUACAACCCCGAUGGCUCUGUUCAUCAUUGGGAGUACGACUCUGCCAAUGCUCGAAAAGAGCUAUGUCGCUUCAUUGCAAGAGCGGAUCUACCACUCAAUAUCGGUGAGUCUGCUGCAUUUGAAGAUUACAUUAAGCAAGCUCAUAAUCCUAGGUUCACGCAUGUUUCUAGACAGACAACUAGUAGGGAUAUGGUAAAAUACUACAAUACGUGUCGUAGCAAACUUAAAGAAAUAUUGCAAACAUGUACAUUUUCAGUUGCUUUGACCUCGGACAUAUGGGCAGGUAGGGCUAGAGAGGAUUAUCUUAGUGUGGUUGCUCAUUUUGUUAAUAAUGAUUGGGAAUUAGAAAAGAGAAUAAUAGGUUUUCGUUUGAUUGACAA